rnacentral:rRNA from 1 species
GAGUACCACGGGACACGUGAAACCCUGUGGGAAGCAGGAGGGACCACCCUCCAAGGCUAAAUACUACCUAGUGACCGAUAGCGUAUAGUACCGUGAGGGAAAGGGGAAAAGAACCCCGGGAGGGGAGUGAGAUAGAAACUGAAACCCUGCACUUACAAGCUGUGGAAGCACAUUUCUUGUGUGACCGCGUACUUUUUGUAGAACGGGCCAACGAGUUACGUUAAGUAGCAAG